CAAAUUUUAAAAAAAAGAAAAAUGAAAAUAGUUUAUUUCAUUGCAAAAGAAAUUAAAACCAAAAUGUUUACUAGCAUUAUUGAACAGAAC